AUAUAGGUAAGUUUUGCGCCCAGAAUAAUGAUUACAUUAUUGUUUCUUUUUUCCUAAGACUGAAGAUGUUGAAUAUUCGGAUGUAGGGAUCUGAUUUUGCCUCAAAAGCAGUUGAUAUUGCUGUAGCAAAAUUACAUUCAAUUGCAACACCUGGACAAGUUACCCAAGUGCAGCUUAAUCGUGCUAAAGAGUCCACAAAAUCUGCAGUUUUAAUGAAUCUGGAAUCUAGAAUGAUUGCAUCUGAAGAUAUCGGUAGGCAAGUUUUGACAUAUGGAGAGAGGUAAACUUGAGAUGAUUUUUUAUUUUCUCAGUUAGGAAACCUGAAGAAAGUUGACGAAAUUACUCUGAAGGACAUCACGAACAUUGCCCAGAAGAUUAUUUCUUCGCCUCUAACCAUGGCAUCAUAUGGGGACGUUAUUAAUGUUCCCAGCUACGAAUCUGUGAGCUGCAAGUUUAAUUCUCGGUGAGGGCACUUCGGUCGUUUCGCCAUCAGCCUUAAUUAUAGAGUUCAAGGUUACUUCUUCCCAAACACCCUUACCAAGGAGGUCACCGACAAGGUAAAAACAAUGACGAGAAUGAAAACAAGAACGGUAGUGAUGAAAAGAGAGGGCCGAACGAGGCCAUUAACACCAAAAGCGGUGGAAAGAACAGCAGUUACAGCACCCAAAGUGGAAGCACAUAAGAUCCACAUAAAGGUUAGGACUGCGUAUCCAAUGGCUGCCUUUAUACAACCAUGGUGAAUUGGCGAAAUUGAUGAUGUAUUUUGUUUUGUUUUUCCAAUCUAAGAUAUGGAGCAGAAGAGUAGGUUUGAUUGGUGUGUUAGAGAGAGUUUCUCACAGUUUCUUGGUGGAUUUUCUGUGGAGCCAAACAGGAGAGGAGAGUAGUUGGGGCUUGAAGGUGGAUUUACUAUAUCAAUACGAUUGGGUUUUUGAAUCCCAUUAAAUUCAAAAAAUGGGUUUUUACUGUUGUACAUUUACUAUAUUAAUGUAUUCCUUUUCCUAUUAGAAUUUGCACAUUUUUAUUAUAAUUUAUAUCAUAGCAUCUUAUUUUUCUUUU